AACAGAAGGGAAGAGGGGCGGGGGGCAACGAGAAAAGAGGGGGAGCUCGAAGAGGGAGGAGGGAUCAGAGAACGGGAAGGAGAUGAGAGGGAAAGGGAGAGAGGCGCUGCCGGUGGUGACCACAGCCACCGUCACCGCUGACCUUGAGGGGAAAAUGAGAGUGAGAGAGAGAGACGCACAGAACGCGCGACGCGAGGAAGAGAAGGGCUCGUCUUCGUUGCCGUCGUCGCCGCGCCUUGCCGCCGCUGCCGUUGUUGGAAGCCGCCGCUGUCGCUGGAAGGAACCAAAUUAGGAUAGGAGGUCGCUGUUGAUGCUGCCGCAGAGAGGAAGGAAGGGACGCGUGUGAGAAAGUGACGCAACAGAGGAGAAGCCGUUCCUCUGCCGCCGCCGUCGCUGCCGGAAUUCCUGGUCGCCGUCGUCGUUCAUGCUUGCUGGGAUCUCUGCUACCAGAAAACGGUGUUGUCGUUACCGGACGUCACUGCCGGAGCCUCUGCCAGCUUGCUCUCCAUUGGUUGCACCACUACCGGGGCUGCUGCUGCUCUAUUGUUCUGUUUUUUCAUAGCUGCACGUUGAACCACUGUAACUAUGAAGCUGUGUUUGAUGGUGUUGUUGCUGAGAAAGUUGUCAGUGUGGCUAAUGCCGCUGCUAUUUGUUCGGUUCAAGACUGUUGCUGCUGCUGCUGCGAGUUAGGACGAAGGGGUCAGGCAUAAUUUCUAUGGAUUUCGACACAUUAAGAUUUUAUUCAUGAGGCAAGGAAUUCUGACUUCUGAGAGAGCAGCAUAAAACUUGAGAAACAACAAAUUGAUCAGGGUUCCUCAUGUAUUCUGGGAUUUGACUAGAAGGCAAGUCCUAACAAUGCAAUUUUAUACAGGGCGAAAGGUAUGUUCUGAAUAAUAUCUUUGUUGUUACAUCAAAUUGCCAGGGACAUUUUUGCUUUGCUGAUGUAUAACUGCAUGAAUCAUUAUUGAUUUUUUGUUGUUACACCACUACUUUGCCAUUACCCUAUUAAGGUACAUACCUUGUUAAAUUAAUAGUUUCAAUUUAUUUUAAUUAAUUAAUUAUUAAUUAGUUAUGGUCCUGCUUGACUUUUGCUGAAAUCAUAUGCCUCUGUGAAUGUGAUAAUGAUCUUUAUCUAUAUGUAAGGAGAACAAACCCCAUGUGCAUAAGAUUUUAUACUCUAUUAGUGGUGCAUGAAUAAUGCAUUUCCUUAUUAGCUUCCUUUGACACUUUAUCGAUGCUGUUAAUAAUGUUGCCUUCAAAGUUGCUUGAAAAAUAGCUCAUUAUAGAAGGCGAUGAAAGAACUUUAAUAAUUUAUGUUUAAUUGAAUUUUGUUGGCAUAAUUUUGACUCCGAUCUACUUUUAUUUGUAAGCUUGAAAACAUAUUUUCAGAUGCACACUCUAAUGGAUAGUUUACACAAAAUAAAUAAAGUAAUAAUAAAAUGUUGAUUAAUGACUUGUUAAGUUACUGUUUUGUUAUGGACUUAUGGCACUGAGUGUUUUGAGUUUUGAAUUUUGAAUGUGUGAUAAGUGAUUUGUGAUUUGUGAUUAGUGAUUUUGUUAUGCUGCUGUUUGAAUUAAUUUAGGGGUGAUUAUUUGUUAUGCUGUUGUAUAGAAAAUUUUUUAAAUCAUGUAUAGAAAAUUCUUGUUAUGCUGCUGGUUUGAAUUAAUUUAGGGGUGAUUAAUUCUUGUUUGCUGGUGUUGAUUACUUGAUUUAUUUGAUAGGUUGGAAGCUAAUAAUAGUAUUUCAGUAUUACCUUGUUUUUUAAGCUUCUAUUUUGGUUGUGGUUGUUUCUUUGUGCUGGAUUUUUUUGAGUUUUAAGCUACUUCAAUAGGGGAGUUGAAGUUCCACUCGAAGAUAGAUUAAAAACAUAUAAAUUUUCAUGUUGAUUGACUUAUUUAAAUUGUGCUCCUUGUUAUUUAGUGGUUGAAAUUUUCAUGUUGAUUGACUUAUUUAACUUGUGUUCCAUAUUCAUUACUCAACUGUUACUGCAUGCAUCAUCAAAAACAUUUUUGUUCUAUUCUAACUUCUUUAUUUCUUUUGCUAGCAGGAGGACAUGAUGUGAAGAAAAUAUAUUCUAUACAAAUAUAAGAUGGGAUGGGUCUUAUAAUGAUUUUGGUUAUCUAACUGUAUUAUUUUGAUGUGUUCUUUACAUUUUGAUAAGAGACUUUAUCCGAUAUUCAUGUAAUGGAUAAAUUACACCAUAUUUUGAUUAGUAUUGUAAUGGAUAUCUAGUUUUUAAUGAAACUUUUAUGAUUUACAUUUAUU